rnacentral:pre_miRNA from 1 species
CAACUACUCCCUUCGUCUGAAAUUACUUGUCGCAUAAAUUUAUAAAAAUGGAUGUAUCUAGAACUGAAAUACAUCUAGAUGCAUCAAUUCCCGUGACAAGUAUUUUGGGACGGAGGGAGUAUUUG